CCUACGGGAGGCAGCAGUGGGGAAUAUUGGGCAAUGGAGGAAACUCUGACCCAGCGACGCCGCGUGCGGGAUGAAGGCCUUCGGGUUGUAAACCGCUUUCAGUAGGGAAGAAGCGAAAGUGACGGUACCUACAAAAGAAGCACCGGCUAACUAUGUGCCAGCAGCCGCGGUAAUACAUAGGGUGCAAGCGUUGUCCGGAAUUAUUGGGCGUAAAGAGCUCGUAGGUCGUUUGUUACGUCGGAUGUGAAAACCUGAGGCUCAACCUCAGGCCUGCAUUCGAUACGGGCAAACUAGAGUUUGGUAGGGGAGACUGGAAUUCCUGGUGUAGCGGUGGAAUGCGCAGAUAUCAGGAGGAACACCAAUGGCGAAGGCAGGUCUCUGGGCCAAUACUGACACUGAGGAGCGAAAGUCUGGGGAGCGAACAGGAUUAGAUACCCUGGUAGUCCAGACCGUAAACGGUGGGCACUAGUUGUGGGAACCUUCCACGGUUUCUGCGACGCAGCUACGCAUAGUGCCCGCCGUCGGGAGGUACGAGUCGCGAGAAGUUAAACGUUAAAGGUAAAGUUAGACGGUCGUGUAGACGUUGUCCGAACGGACGACGACGAGGGAGGAGG
rnacentral:rRNA from 1 species